rnacentral:rRNA from 1 species
CCUACGGGGGGCAGCAGCGGGGAAUAUUGCACAAUGGGCGCAAGCCUGAUGCAGCCAUGCCGCGUGUGUGAAGAAGGCCUUCGGGUUGUAAAGCACUUUCAGCGGGGAGGAAGGCGGUGAGGUUAAUAACCUCAUCGAUUGACGUUACCCGCAGAAGAAGCACCGGCUAACUCCGUGCCAGCAGCCGCGGUAAUACGGAGGGUGCAAGCGUUAAUCGGAAUUACUGGGCGUAAAGCGCACGCAGGCGGUCUGUCAAGUCGGAUGUGAAAUCCCCGGGCUCAACCUGGGAACUGCAUUCGAAACUGGCAGGCUAGAGUCUUGUAGAGGGGGGUAGAAUUCCAGGUGUAGCGGUGAAAUGCGUAGAGAUCUGGAGGAAUACCGGUGGCGAAGGCGGCCCCCUGGACAAAGACUGACGCUCAGGUGCGAAAGCGUGGGGAGCAAACAGGAUUAGAUACCCUAGUAGUC